rnacentral:rRNA from 1 species
ACGGGAGGCAGCAGUGAGGAAUAUUGGUCAAUGGGCGGAAGCCUGAACCAGCCAAGUCGCGUGAAGGACGAAGGUAUUAUGUAUUGUAAACUUCUUUAGACGUAGAGAAAUAAGCGGGACGCGUCCCGCGAUGCUAGUAUACGUAGAAUAAGGAUCGGCUAACUCCGUGCCAGCAGCCGCGGUAAUACGGAGGAUCCGAGCGCUAUCCGGAUUUAUUGGGUUUAAAGGGUGCGCAGGCGGCGUAUUAAGUCAGCGGUAAAAUAGUGGGGCUCAACCUCAUCCCGCCGUUGAUACUGGUAUGCUUGAUUUCGGUUGAGGUUGGCGGAAUGCGCCGUGUAGCGGUGAAAUGCAUAGAUAUGGCGAAGAACUCCGAUUGCGUAGGCAGCUGACCAAGCCGAUAAUGACGCUCAUGCACGAAAGUGCGGGGAUCGAACAGGAUUAGAUACCCUGGUA